AUUCAGCUGAUGAGUCCGAAAAAGGACGAAACGCGCAUUCUGGAU
rfam:Schistosoma mansoni strain Puerto Rico chromosome W, complete genome